GCCAUCGUAGCUCAGUUGGUAGAGCAGAGCUUUCGUAAAGCUCAGGUCGCUGGUUCGAGUCCAGUCGAUGGCU
rnacentral:tRNA from 1 species